GACGAACGCUGGCGGCGUGCUUAACACAUGCAAGUCGAACGGUAAGGCCCCAGCUUGCUGGGGUACACGAGUGGCGAACGGGUGAGUAACACGUGGGUGACCUGCCCCGCACUUCGGGAUAAGCCUGGGAAACUGGGUCUAAUACCGGAUAGGACCGCACCGUGAGGGUGUGGUGGAAAGUUUUUCGGUGUGGGAUGGGCCCGCGGCCUAUCAGCUUGUUGGUGGGGUAAUGGCCUACCAAGGCGGCGACGGGUAGCCGGCCUGAGAGGGGGGACGGCCACAUUGGGACUGAGAGACGGCCCAGACGCCUACGGGAGGCAGCAGUGGGGAAUAUUGCACAAUGGGCGGAAGCCUGAUGCAGCGACGCCGCGUGGGGGAUGACGGCCUUCGGGUUGUAAACUCCUUUCACCAUCGACGAAGGUUUUCUGACGGUAGAUGGAGAAGAAGCACCGGCUAACUACGUG
rnacentral:rRNA from 1 species